UACGAGGGGGGCAAAUGUUGUUCGGAAUCACUGGGCGUAAAGGGAGCGUAGGCGGGUUUCUAAGUUAGAUGUUUAAUCCCGGGGCCCAACCCCGGACAGGCACCUAAAACUGGAAGGCUUGAAUAGUGGAGAGGACGGCGGAAUUGGGGGUGUAGCGGUGGAAUGCGUAGAGAUCCCCAAGAACACCAGUUGCGAAGGCGGCCGUCUGGACACAUAUUGACGCUGAGGCUCGAAAGCAUGGGGAGCAAACAGG
rnacentral:rRNA from 1 species